UAAAAGCUAUAUAACUAGAUUUUGACCGCCCAUUCGCCACUGUCAAACGUAAGCUCAAGACUCGCAUAGCUAAGAACUUAACCAUAUGCGAAGGUCUAUAUCUUUGACUUAUAUUAUUAUUUACUAAAUGAUAUAAAUAAAAGAUGAAUAAACCAUAAGGAUAUCAGACAACAGCCAUUCUUUUAAUUUUACUUAUACAGUCCAUCAACUUUUAAUUUUGUCAAGGCAGUAGGUGCAAACUUUAAAGCUGAGGUGCCUUCUUUUAGCAUGUUUUUAACUAGAUUUAGGGCUCCUAGCAUGAGCUCAUGGGCUCAAGUUUUGCUAUAUUUAUCUACUUUAUGUCGUGUUCAUUGUGGCGAGCAUUACCAUGCCCUUUAUCUUAGACCAGCUAACCAUGUCUUAUUAAACAUGAUAACAAUAUCCACCCAAAGGUACGUGAAAAGAAUAUAAGACUCUUGAUAAUCUUUCGGAACUACAAGAACCUUUAUAUGGUGUGAAUACAAAGUCAUCUAAUUGCUAACUAUUAAUAUUUUUCUUUUCAAAAAGAAUAAAGUUUUUAAAUGAUAUGACAUUGGCUCACCAACAAUUUUCAAGAAAUCUAGUGAUUAGUUUUCAAAAAAAAGAAGAAGAAGAAGAAGAAGAAAUCUAUUAUUAGCGUGAAUUCAAAACACAUAAAAUAAUUAUAAUCAUAUGAUUAUAAUAACUCAAUACAAUUUUAUUUACUGGUAUAUGUAGAUUUUAAUAAAAAAUAUUAAGACCUUUUCACGGCCACUUCGGAAUACUUGAUUUGGCAUAAUGUUUACUAUAUUAAUUAAUUAUUUAUAAUAAAAAGUCCUCUUAAUUAGAUAACUUCAAAACCAUUAUAUUAAUAAAUUAAAAGUAGAACACAAAAUAAAAGUAUCAAAUGAGGAAGUACAUAUAAUGAGUUUGUUCAUGGUAUCCAUUCAGUUUAAAAACACUUACACAAAACUUAAGACAAUUAUGAAGAACGAUAUAAGCUUGGUACACCGAUAUAUUGAACCCGCAAACCAAGAAAGCACGUGUACCAUGAUCUAAUGAUGAAUAUUAAGCAUAGCCUUAGCCUCACUCUGCUCCUGCAACAAAUUUUCACUAGCAUACUUGUUCAAAUGCUCUAACUACUGAGAUCUUUUCUUUUGUCUCAUUUUUUACAGUAAAGUAAAUCUUUAUACUAUCUUUAUAAGAUCUUAAUACAUGUCAUAUCUUUCUUUAAGAAUUUGAUCUUAAAUAUAGGUCUUAAUCUGUGAUUUUGUUCGGAUUGUAUUAAUUAUAUUAGUUUGGUUCACUAUAAUUUAAAUAUUAUUAUAUAUUAAAUUAUUAUCAAUUAAAUAUAUUAAUUUAAUAUGAUAACAAAUUAUAUAUAUUGGUUAAAUAUGAUUAGAUGUUUAUAGUCAAUCUACGCAACUUUAAGAUGUUGGCUAAAAUUAUAUACAACACCAUUAUUUUCACUAGAGUUCAAUCUUUUUUACCUAAUCUUCAUACUUAUUAUUUAUAACAUGUAUAAAUUAUCUUUAACUAAGAAUCUUACAAAUUUCUAAUUUUUACCUAUGAAAAAGAGAUCAAUACUACUGAGAUCUUUUCUUUUGUCUCAUUUCUUACAUUAAUGUAAACUAGCACCAGUGCCCGUGCAAGGCACGGGCCUGGCAUGAAGCUGGGACAAUUUUCAUUGCAGCGAAACAUAGCUUGUGAGGAAGACAGUCAUGAACAGUGUUACAUAUGAAUUUGUUGAAUAUCUCAAAGGCGAUGGCGAACAAUUUUAACCGCUUUGUCGCCGUAGGAACUAAGUCAUGUACUUUCGUCCACUUCCAUAAUUGAAGCCCUUGCAAAUGGAAAUCGUAAUAUUUUGUUGACAGUUUCUCUAGCUUUACCAGCUUGCCCUCUGGCUGUCUGAAUGUGGCCGGAGCAGGGUGUAAUUCAAGUUGUUUAGGCAAUUUUGAGAUAUAUGUUAUUUUAAGACAAUAUUGGGAGUGCAGUAAAUAAUUUAGAUAAGAAUGAACUGUGGAUUUCCGGAAUUUUUUUUUGAAGGUUGGUUUUUUAUAUUCUGGCAUGUUUGUCACUUAUAUUUUAAGUAUUUUUUGAAGUAUGUUAAUAUUGUUUUCUUAACUCCUUAUAUAAUACUUUUAGUUUAAGAUAUAUUAAUUUAACCUCGUAGACCACCUUUAGUCUCAUUAUUUUAACAGCCAUCUAUCAGGAAAUGAUUUUUUAGAGAAUUUGGGUUGCAGGAUAUUAAUAUCUGUAUUGAUUAUUAAAAUAAUAGAUAAUAAAAUCAACCAAAAUUGUAUGAGUGUAGUGAGCUCUUGUAUGAUAUAUGGAUAUUUAUGUUAGAGCAUCUACAGCAGAGUCCUAACAUAUUUCCUAAAUAUAUAAUAAAAUAUUUAUUUUUUAAGGGAUUACUACAUAAAUGGGAACUCCAACAACAUUCCCUAUUUCUAUUCCCUAUUAUUAUUAUAAUAUUAUAUUCAACUUGUAAGUAGAAGAGAGAAAGAAGGGAAAAAGGGGGAAAAAGAGAUAAGUGAAUAUUUUAUUCUUUAAAAUAGUAUGACUUAAAAAUGAGGAAUGAAGUGGGCAUCCUAAUUUUUUAAGAGAUGGCUAGGACUCUGCUGGAGUUGUGUUUUAUGUCAUAUUCGUUAUAUUAAUAGUUUAGGAUAUCAUAUAGGGAAGCUGCUGGAGAUGCUCUUAGGAAGCAGAAAUAAUUUUUGAAAUUAUUAGCCGACACGCCAUCUUCAACACAUUAUUUCUACAGCAAUGUAUUGAGCGAUGAAAUAUAGGUGUACUAUUUGCACAAUAUUCACGUAACCCUGUAUGUAUUGAACAGGGCGUGCCUGAGGCUGUGCUAGGUGUUCGACGGAACAGGGCUCAUAAUUUUGGGAGGCACAUUGUAUAUGUAUAUAUUAUUUGAAAAAAAUAUUAUCUUAACAAAAUUAAAAAAAGUUAUAUUAGUCUUUUUUUUGCCAAGGAAAAAAUGUUCUAUUAGUCUUAAUGAUAAAGUAAUAUAUAACUUUUUUAAAAUAAGAUUCAUAAGAAAAAUAUGUAAUAAGAAUAUUAAUUUAUUUGAUUAGUAAUUUAGACUACCAAUUUUAAUAAUUAAAUACAACGGGUCAAUACUAGUUCUCAUUUAGACAACUUGUACAUUAUUAUUUUUAAUAAUUCAAUUAUUGGAUAUCUAAUUUAUUUAAAUUAGGUCUCUAUUUAAUGUUUAUAUAUUCAAUGAGAAAGUUAAAUUAGAAUUAAUUAAUCCGUUAGUUAAAGUUUUACAUCAAAAUUUAAUAAAUUUUACAUUUAAAUUAGUUUUUGUAUGAUUAUAUUUUUUUAUAAUUAUUAUAUCUUACUAUUUUUGCACUUGUUUUUCCAGUUUUUUAUUUUUUUAUAAUUAUUUCAAAAUAAUAAAAAAUUGAUUAAUUUUUAUUAUUUUAUAUAAUAACUAUUAUUUUUUGGGCUUUUUUUAUUCAUAACCACGUUUUCAAUAUUAUUUCCAAAAAUACUACCUUAUCCAAUCUUAUUUUCAAAAAUACUACCUUCUCUAAAAUAUUUUCAAAAAUACUAUGGUUGCAUAUGCAACUAUGGGGCCGUUUGGGUUAGCUUAAAAGAAGUGACUUCUUGCUUAUAGUAAAGAAGUGGAGUAGAAGUGAGAAGUAAAUAAGUUAAUAAAGUGUUUGGAAAAGAAGCAGAAGCCAGAAGCAGCUUCUGCUUCUCUCAACCAAACAGCCCCUAUAUAUGCAACUGAAUUCCUGAUUUCAAGUUCCAGUUUUCAAAUGUCAUUUUCGACCUCAUAUUUGGGAUCGAUAUAUAUAUAUAUACAGUUUCCGUUGCAUAUGAGGUUGCAUAUGAGGUUGCAUGCAACCUCAUAUGCAACUAAAUGCAACUGAAAACUGUAAGUUCCAACUGAAGUAUGGGUGCCCCUGGCGGGGCCAUUAGAUUGCAAUAGAAUCAACUGAAUGCAACCUCAUAUGCAACUAAAUGCAACUGAAAACUGUAAGUUGCAACGGAUGUAUGGUGUGCCCCUGGCGGGGCCAUUAGAUUGCAAUAGAAUCAACUGAAUGCAACCAUAUGCAACUGAAUACAACCAUAUGCAACUAUAUAUGCAACUGAAUUCCUGAUUUCGAGUUCCAGUUUUCAAAUGUCAUUUUCGACCUCAUCUUUGGAGUCGAUAUAUAUAUAUAUAUAUAUAUAUAUACUCCAAAGAUGAGGUCGAAAAUGACAUUUGAAAACUGAAACUUGAAAUCAGGAUUUGUAGUUGCAUAUAUGGUUGCAUAUGCAACCACCGUAUUUUUGGAAAAUAUUUUCAAAAAGGUAGUAUUUUUGAAAAUAUUUUAGAGAUUUGAAAAUAAGAUUGGAUAAGGUAGUAUUUUUGAAAAUAAGAUUGAAAAAACAGUAUACAAGAUAAUUCCCCUUAUUUUUUUUGUUGUUGGGGCACAUAUUUUUUAUUUUGCACUGGGCACCUAGAAUUUCAGGUUAUUGAAACAAAUGGUUUUCUGUCCAUUACAAAUAAUCGAACUGUCAAAUAUUACCAAAAAUAUUCAUUCAAACCGAAGUGAGUAGCGGCUUGUCUUGGGAGAUGGGUAUAACAUGAGAUUUAUAAAUAACGAGUGUGACUCUUGUGCUGGACAGUAAAUUACCAUAAGAGUUAAGAAUGCAGACCGGCUCCAAAUGGUAAAGAAAAGCUUAAUUUUUCUACAAUCAUUAAAUUAGCUAAACAAACGCUAAAUAUAUCCCGAGGAAUGAGUGUAAUUUUAUCAAAUGUACAAAUUACCCUAAAGUACCUUAUAGAACAAUGUAAACAAAAGAAUAUAACGACUGGUCAGUGGUCAAUUAAUGGGGAACAACUGGAAGAGGACAGCAGAGAAAUGUCACUAUAAGAAAACAGCACUUCCUUCCCAGAUUCAUACGACUAAAAUGAUUUUUCUGUUGACAAAAUCAUGACCAUUGCAUCUUCCUGAUACAACAAACACUGCCAUCAAACCCUAAAAUAUAACUUCGUACCAAUCAUAACCACUACAGAGGCCGACAUGUAAAAUGGCAUGAAACAACCUAGAAGCAAGAAGACAAACAUAAUACAUUUAAAUAACUCAAUAAUAAGGAACAGCCAACCAAUUUAAUCAAACAAGCAAAAGCAAAUUGUCUCAAAUAAUCUGCACCAAAAACAAUAGCUCGAACACCAUAAGAGGAGUACCUUAAAGUAAAAUUUGAAAGUGCAUUAAAAUGCUUCAAUCGUUCUACGAAUUCCAGAAAGCAAAACAUUGAAGACACCAAAUUUAUAAAAGCAAAUAAUAAUCAGGAUCGCUGCAAAGACAAUAAUCAACUCCAUAAAAAUAAUUCUUUAAAAAAAUUUAACUAAUGAAAAUAUGUUAAUAACCCAAUUCAGUCACAGCAUAUACAUAUACAACUGAUACACACCAAGUUUCCGGCAUCACCAAAUACCUGUCUCUGAAAUCUCUUCCCUAAAAGUCGAACUCAGAUUAUGGACACAGUCACCGCUCUUAAUUGUAGCUUUGCAAGAUAGACGCACAUCGAAAUCACUUGAAAAAAGUAGUCAACUAUUUACUCACAAGUUGCCUCCUGCCUCUUUGCUCUGGAUGACCCUUGAGCAGAAGAAACAUGGUUAAAUACAUGAUCGAGGUGGACCGCUCUCCUGCAAUUCUUUUCAACUUAAAUUCAAUCACUACAAAAUUCUCCAUAAAAACAAUGAAAGGCAUAUGUGAUGAUUGAUGAGCAGCCGUAAAAACAUAUCAAAUGACCAGUUUGAAAUUUAACAUUAAUCAAGGGUGCAUAAGUAAUUUCACAGCCAUUUUUCAGGCUCAAUUUGCCCCUGGUUCUCCUUUAAUAUAUAGAAGUAGAUUUAGUCAGAGCCAAAAUCGGGGAUCUUCAAAUACAGGUUGCAGAAUUGCGUAGUUUACAUUGUCGAUUUCAUUCUUAUGUAAUGACUUGGUUAAGAAAUCUCACACCGUGAUAAGACCCUUUGGAGGUUCAAUGGGAGCUCCAAAUUUAAUCAACCCAUUGCUUUUUGCCAACAUAGACAUAACAGACAGGCUUAAGAAGUUAUUUGACAAAUUUAUACUUCCAAUUAACUGAAUACGCAGCACAGAAAAUUAAACUAAGCACUUCCAGAAAAUAUAAACGAAAAGACAACCAUACAACUAACUGCAGCAUGUAAAAUUUAAAACAAUGUCUAACUGUCUUACAAGCAAACUGAGACAAGUCAUUCUACUUGCCACAACUUCAUGUGAUAUAUCCAUGGAAGCCAAAUAUAGCUAUGUAUGUUUCUCCAGUGAUUGUCCUGCUUUUUAAUACCUCUGAUUAGUUACGAUACGAAGCAAAGUAUGCAGCUCUACACGAUGGACAAGUUUACGGAGGAAGAUGCAUUACUCUUGAGUGACCAUAAUGCAUCAUCUAAUUAAGACGUUAAUACACAAAUAUCAUCUACAGACUCCAAAAGCUUCGCUUAUUAUUAUCUUCUGAGUUCUCGCACAAUCAAAUCAUUUAUCAAGUUUCUAUUUAUUGCAUAGCUUAUAGGUUGAUAGGAUUCAACAUUUUCAUGUCCACACACCGAAAAUUAUAGUUUGGUUAACUGGUUUUUGUGCAGCCUUUUACUUCAGUUUAAUUUGUUAAACAUUCAUAUAUUUAUACAAUAUUAUUAAAUCUAGACAUACAAAGUUUAGUCGUUGGUUUUGGUUUGUAGUCUGGUACAGUAGAUUAUAACAAUUAGAUCACUUAAAUUAUAGCAACUUAUAAAUCACAUGUUCUAUACUAAUCUUUUUGUGUUACCAACUUAUUUGCUUUUUCCAAUUUGAACUAUAUGUUUAGCACAUAUCCUAUAGUUAUAUGUACAUCCAUCCUUCUACCUAAUGCUAUAUAUUUCCAGUCUCAAUUUUCUUCGGCCAAAUCACAACCAAAUGAUUUAUGUUUCUGGCUAGGCAUCCAUAUUCAGGUUAUAUGAUGAUUGCUGGCAGGCCUACUCUAAAUGAAGGGGAGAUAUACUCCCUGUGAGUAAAUAUUCAAUAGCUGCAUCCAAGAAAGAACCUGAAUCUUAUCAGUUUCGCUGUUAUGCCUGAUGUCUAACAUGUCAUUGAGGUGAAAAUCACCUCAUCAGGUGACUAUCACAAGUAAAGACCGGCAUACAUAUAGUUUUUUGAGUUUUUAAAUUAAAGCAGCAAGGCUCCAGGAACGCUCGACAAUUCAUCUUAUGUCAUAGUUUAUUGGACUUAGUUCGAAUAUAGAUAUGACCAUGACAUUUAGUUUCCAGGAUGAACUAUAUAGUUGGAGACAAAAAGUGUUUAUCUUCCCUGUAUACAAAGAAUAAUUUUCUAAUGUACUUUUCUACUUGCUGGCUGAGAAAAUUAGAAUCUGGUGCUUCCUAAUAAGAGUGUACUUCAGAACCCUGGAGCUACUGCCAAAGUGAUUAUCUGAAAGCCACUUAAUACAACUGUUGUUUCGAAACUAUGAUAGCUGCAAAGUUCUAACAGUAACAAUUUAGUGUAUUAUAUAAGGGACCGGUAACUACCUAACUACCCUAAAAUUAUAGCUAUUGGCAGGCCAUAGAUAGCUGAAUCUUAAAAGCAAAGUUUAAGUCUGGCAGACAUGAGAGCAUGAGUAAAGAAUAACAAAAUGCAAGCAUUUUGAAAAACAACUGUCAAAAGCGGAUAAAAAUACCUUAACAACUAUAUUUCCAGUCAAACACCUCUCUUCCUGUCCCCCUGCAGAACACACGCCUACCCCACAUAUAUUCCUUCAUUCCACAGUCAAAUUUGGCCCCAAUAACCACCAAAUCUAACAAUCAGACAUAACUAAUUUAUGAAAUGGCGGAAAAUUUUAACAUAAAAAAUAAACAAAGACCAAAAAACAGAGAUACAUCUAGCAAGAACACAAACACGUGAGUUAAUACUAACAAAGCUACAAGAGGGGCUAAUAACACUAAUUUAGUUUGAGUACCAAAAUUGUGGACCUUAGAGAUUAAGACAUGCCUUCUAGGUAGCGGAAAGAAGGUUGGAAUUGGGAAAUUUUCUCCGAUGAAAACCACGUUCUUGCUUAUGCCAAAAUUCUCGUGACAUUCCUCAAGAUAAUCGAGAAUGCCCGAGUCAAUAUCAGUAUUUUUUCUGUAUUCUGGAAUAUGAGUGUGCGACUUGUUAUAAUUGAUCCUAUUGAUAGUACAGAGAACGGGUCUGUCAUCUUUUGAUUUGAUAGAGUUGGUUCUACUUCGUCGGGCACUCCCCGUCUUCCGUUAAGUAGUACCGUAAGGGAAAGUGCAAAAUUCACCUUUGCCAGCAUGUGCUGAUGAACUAAGACCCUGCAAAAGGGACAAAAAUCUCCCUAAUCAGUAUGGUAUAAAGAUACACCCAAAUAUGACAUAUAAGAAGCAAAUAACCUAAUAUUACUCAACACAAACCCUCCCACAGCCCUGACUGUAACCAACAUAGCACAAGUUUUGAUGCGCACAACAAAGGUCAGCGCAGGUUUAUAAUCAUAUAAGCACCAACAAAAAGCAUGCCAAAGGAGUCAGAAACAAUGGCCAAUUAUUGGAUACCAGCCUAACCGAACAAUCAAAUUAUAGAAUCAAAUAAGAAACAAUGACAUACAGUCCCGUAAAACAUCGGGCGCUAUAAUACGACUUGCAAGCAUCAUCAAUAAACCCUAAACACUUCUAACUUGAUGAAUGAUAAUUUUGUUGCGACACGAGACACAAAAAUGAGUUUUCUUUCUCGCCUCUGCAUCACUGCCACGUAGUAAUUGGCUGAGAAGAGAGAAGCCGAUAAAAUCCCCUAAAAUCAAUCACACAAAUAGGAUCCCCAAAAAAAAAUAUAGCAUAGGGUAAAAUGUCCAAGGUCAACCUUGCAGUAACAAAUUCAAAAAAUAUCAAAGGCAAAAGAAGCACAAGGAUGACAUUGCUAAGCACUACUAAAUGAAUGAAAGAGGGCGCUGAACUAAAUUAAUUACCAAACACCCUGCGGCAAACUUGAGGGGAGCAGAAUUACUUUAAUUUCAUAAACAGUCCAUUGUGCCAAAAAACCUCAGGCACACAUUUUAUCAAACAGAUAUGGCGGGCCUUGAUAAUAUAGACCGAUAAUCUAUCUGGGAACGUACCGGAAUUAGCCGCAAUGGAUUGAAGGGCUCGGAGAGAUAGAAGCUCUGAAUAGAUGCUUGCGUACAACCGAGAGGCCUCCCAGCCAACAAAGCAGCUCUGAAAUGAGAUAACCCCGCUCCUCUUGAUCACCACAGAAGCAGCGCUGUGGACAGAACACGGAAGGACCCGAGCAUGGGCCGACAGAAAUGACCGCCGAGGAUGAUAGCUAGGCCGGGAGCCAGUUUGGAGUCAGGGUCGGAAGGGCAUGAUUGUGAAAAACAUUGCUUCGGUAAUAUAUCUAGCUUUCCUCUAAAGGACUGAACUGUCUUUUAACACUGAAUUAAUUUGCUCAGGAGAAGGGCAUGUUCUCGUAUAAUAGAUAUCUAGCAUCAGUGCCCGUGCAAUAGUACCAAAGCUACUGAAACAAAUUUGAAAAUAACUCACUGAAAAAGUCUCUGAUAAAUUUGAGUUUUGAUUUCGAAGAAUCGUCAGGAGGGUCAAGCAUUUCAAACACCUUAGGUGCCUCACGAGGAUCAUAGCCAGCUGAUGCCAUCAGAAGCAGCCCAAUAUAAUCUGCUUCUUUCUCAUUGCUAAUAAAAAAUAAACAAUCACUCACUAUCUUUAUUCACAGCUAUGUAAUCAUCAAUGGAAGUGAAUAUUUAUAAAUACAAACACAGUUAUGAGUUAUGACUCCACCAAGACUUAAAGUUUCGACCUCUUAUUACCAAAAAACAGGAUUGUGCAGCUUACUGAUGUUUGCAAUACAGUUGUAUGAGGCAAUGAAAAUGGUGUUACAAAUGUAGCAGGACAUAAGUACUAUACAAUUUACAAUCAUAAAUCCAGUAGAUUUAUAAGGAUGCAUAAAUCAAUAAUAUACCUCCGUGAGCAAGGAUUGAGGACGAGUUCUGCCAGCUUCCGUGUACCUAGAGGAUGAGGGGGAGGGGACCUCCCAGACCCACCAGAGAAGAUGAUCAUCAGUCCAAUUGCAAACCACAACGAUUUUGUAAAUCUUUCAGCAUAAUGCCUAGCAACAACAUGCCCAACCUAAUCCAACAACAAGCAAGGGCGGUUUCGUCAAUUUGUGGUCGAUCAUAUUUCCAAAUAUAAUGAAACAAAAGAUAAUGUAAUAAAAGCUUUCUGAAAUACUGUUUUAACUACUCUGAACUCUUCCAAUAUAUAUGAUUAUAUGUUCUAUAGUUUCGAGUUGAGUGCACUGCACUGCUAAACAAAGACCAUGCAUAUUAAUUAAACAACAAGAGUAGGAGCAAAAACAAUGAGAGUUUAGUAGAUACCUCAUGGUCGAUGACAGCAGCAACCUGAUCAUCCGACUUGCAACUUUUAAGUAAAUAUUUGUACACCACAAUCUUUCCUCCUGGUAGGACAUAAGCAUUGUUCAGAUAUCUAUCCACCACCACAACCUCCCAAUCUAAUCCCUCCAAAUGCCUAGUAGAGAAUUUAGUUCGUCGCCACCAUGGCACUGCUGCUUCCUUCUCAUCAACAUCACUAGUGAUAUUUCUUGAACUGUAUUCCAAACCAGUCAUCUCUUUGAUCUUCAAGUCGCUUUGUAAUGCCCUAAGUAUCUUGUUUGAGAUCGACCUCACGCGUACACUAUCAGGGUGAUCCUGAGGAAGAACAAAGAUUUCUUCCCUCGUUCUAGAAAUAAAAUUUCCAAAACUUGUGUCCUUGCUAGGUGGAAUUAGUACGAAGUGCUUUCGUUUCGAGUAAGGUAUAGUUUCCCAACUGCCAAUUGUGAAAAUGGUAACAAUUCCUAAACCAACGAUACAAAUUUUUUUAUACUCUUUAACAUGUUUCAUAAAUCGAGCAAAUUUAGAGUAAUCCUUGAGUGCUAGGGGAGGUCCUCUAUAUUUGUGAUAAUGCCUAACAGCACCAAGUGUCCAAAAUCCUAUAGCAGCUGAUGGAGAUUGGACGAGAAAAUUACGAUAAAGUCUACAGAAAUUAGGGGCUGGAUUGCUUCCAGGCUUCUUCGAGUCGAAGAGCCUAAAUCUUUUUAACCCUUUUAAUGGCUCCUCUCUCCUGCAUACGAAACGUAAACAGCUUUUUAACCCUUUUACUCAAAUUCACAUAGAAACCUAAGCAACAAAAAAAUCAAGAAGCUAAGAAAUAAACAACACAAAGACAAAAUGAAAGAGUAGUUAAAUCAAACAGUGAGCAACCCCAUACUUUACACACAAAAUUCAAAUGAUUCAAACUCACAUUUUACAAAGAAAAUUCAAAUGAUUUAAAUCCUUUGAAAUAAAAAAAGAAAAGAAAAUAUAGAUGACUUAUUGUUGUCCCAGCCUAUCUUCAUGUGUUUCAGACUAUAUACAGAAACUUAAUAAAAAACGAAUGAUUUUUUUGUCCUUAACACUGCUUGGGAUAUACAAUUACUAUAUUAACACAUCGAAACAGAUAAUAUAAUGAAAACUUUUGUGGCUUAAGAUUGCAGUUCAGACAAUUUAUGAAAUAGUUCGGAACUCUAUAAUGAUCGGUCGUACCUUUUGGCGCACCUUUGUAGUCCGUAUCGGAGGUGGCGGCGAUUGACAGAUUGAGACAAUUAAAAUUGUAGAACCCCUAAUUUGCAGGGAAAAACCCUAAUCUGCUAAGAGGCCACAAAGAGUGAAGAGUAUCCGUGGUGAUAAAAUCAUAUUGCAUCAUGGACUUACGACUGAAGGGGGAUCGGGGAUCGGGGAGAAGCCGUAAGAGUAUGGCUAUGAGGAAGCUGCAGAGAUGCUGUGUGUAUGUAUAUAAAUGUGCAGGGUUUAAUUAGGAGGUUCGGGAAGUAAGAUCGGACCGAACCAAAGAAUUAAUUUGCUCAGGAAAAUAACGUGUUCUCGUAUAAUAGAUAUAGUAGAUUUUGGAUUAAUGUCAUCCUUCUAAAAACCCACUUACAAUAUAUUACGGACCGGACUCUUUGUUAUUUUGCUUAUAAUUAUUUGUUGUACUAUAUUAUAACUAGCAUUAGUGCCCGUGCAAGGCACGGGCCUGGUAUGAAACUCAUAUUAUUUUUAUUGUACACAAAAUGAUCAGUAAGAAAUAUGCUCGUAAAAAAACAAAGAAAUAAAUAUUGGAGUACUCGUCCAAAAAAACAUUGUAUGAAGCUGGAGGAAAUAUAUGCAACACCACAAAAAAAUUAUAAUUUGAAAAAUUAUAUAUAAUUAUUCUCUUCGAGAUAGCCAAGGCUUUAGUCAUGCACCUUUCAAUGAACUUUCCUAACACUCUAAAAUUAACAUUUUCUUUACUACGAGCUCCUAACCUCACUUUUCAUUUUCUAAAAAAUCUAAUGCCUUGAAAACUGCAGCUUGCAUGUGAUUGGCUAUAUAACGUAAAUUCUAUGAUGUGAGAAGUUAAAAACAUUUUAGAGUUCAAACAAACCAUUAAGCCCUAUUAAAAAUAGAAAAUAAUAUGUAAUGAGAGUAUUUGCGCAACAACACUAAGCUAGAAAGACAAGACAAAACCGAGUGUGUCUGGGGCAAGUUAUUUCAAAACUAAAGUGCUUCUCUACGAUAACCAGGACCUAACUUCAAAGGGUCUUCUACUAAAUACGCCCCUUGACAAUAGAUGCCAGCAUCAUUCAUGCGAUUAUUCUGGACAUGAAAGAUGGCUUUCUUUUCACCACCACAAUCAUCUCGAUUUUUCUCAACAUAGUCUUUAGCCUCGGCUGCGACACUGUUUACAAAAACAAAGCGAUUUCCUCUGAGAGAAUUAGUCUCCCUGAUCCAUUGCCAUAAUUUCUCCCCCUUCUCUUAUCUUCCUCACUUGCUCUUCAAGAAAAGGAGUUCUUUCCAUACUACUAUACUGCAUAUUCUCAUCUUUCUUUGUCUGAUACAGAAAAUAUUUUCAAAUAAGCACUUCAAUUAACUCAAAGCUAAACAUCAAGUCUGAGAGUUAAGACCUUGCCACAAUCAGAAAGUACAUGGCAAACAAAUGGUAGUUCUUCAUCUUCGAACUUGUCUACUGAAAUUUAUACGUUUAACAUCCUACAGCAAAAUUUAUGAUAUUUAAUAAAUAAUUAAUUCUAAUAAUUCUACUUCUCAAAUAAAAAAGAAUAUUUUUAGCUUGAUAAAUGAAUUGUAAUAAAACUUAUAUUAACAUUAAUGGCAAUGUGUUUAGACAUUUUGAGGUUAUUUGUUUGAGUUUAAAGGCGUUGUCGACUUCAAAUUAAAAAAUGUUUGUUCGUUUAUAAGGUAGAAGUCAACUGAAAGUUAACAAUAAACCAUAAAUUAAUUUAAAAAUAAAUAUUGGUAGGACGCAUUUUUUUAUAAUUUACUUUAUUUUGCAAUUUUUUUAAUAGCUAGUCUCGUGGCAUUCUAACAGCUUACACCUCUGUAUUUCUCAUACUAAUUUUAAUAUCAUAUUUACAAAUUUUCUCAAUCACAUUGUGUUUUGUUUGCUAAUAUAUUCACAUAAAUUUAAAAGAUCAGAUUUAGUAGUUUUAUUAAUGCUUGUUUUACUUUGCGGAGUUCUCAAAUGACUUGCUCAGUUACUCAGUUUUGCCUUGGUGCAUCUUCAAUGUGAUUAUAUGAACACAAAUAAAUAAUCAACUAAUUGUCGUGAUGUGUCAUGUUUUAAUUAAACUAAUUAUAAUGAUUGACUAUAUUUUAAAAAUAAUAACUUUUUAUUAUUUUAAAUUAUUAUAAAUAAUAUAUUAUUUAACUAUUUAAAUAUUCUGAUAUGAUAAUAAAUAAAAAUUUUGAGACAUAAUAGAUAAAAUUAUAACUCCGAAUAUUUAAUAUAAUUUAUUUAACUUGUAAGUUGUAGGAUACCAUAAUAGAUUUUUAGCGAGUUUUGUAUCAAGUUGGUCACUCUAUUCAUCAAAAUAUCUCAUUUAAACUAUCAAACUCCGCGGCGACUCAUUUAAACCAAUCAAUUUCUAUUAUAUAUCACACCGUUAUCUUUGACAUAUUUUUAACAGCAGAGCUGAUGUGUCAGCUCAGCUGACAUGGCCAGGGAAUAGGAUAUAAUAUAAGAGAAAAAGUUAUUAAAAAGCAAAGAUAUAAAUAUAUGACAUAGUACAUAUUGCAAAAACAAGAUCAAGUUAGAGUUGACCUCAUGCAACUAAGACCUACCUCUGGAUAUGCAAGCUUGAUGUCUUCUUUGCCCGUAGUGCCUCUGCGAGCUCAAUUUUCAAGGCAAGUACCCUUUCUAAAACAUUACCACUUCUCAAAUAAUUCUGAAACCAAGGAAACAUGCUUUCAAGAUCUUGAUUUGCCUAUGACCAAGACUUGUGACUUGUGAGAAACGGAAAGGUGCAAAUUUGAAAAGUAGGUGCUCUGACAUUAUUAAAAAAGUUAUAGAGAGCAAUGGCAAAAACUACCUUAUUUAAAUGCAUGAGUUCUCUUUGUAAGUCUUGAACAUGUGGGUCAUGAUUAGCCUGUGAAAAAUGGGAGUUUUCAUUCUUCAUCCUCUUUACUGCAGAAGAAAUGAACGAUUUGUGAAGUGGGCCACUGAAGUGUCACACAUUUAUCUAAGAGGAGCAUGUAUAUCAUUUUUGCACAUGCAUUUGAUUAACAAAUCUCACCAUAUAAUGAUUCAUGUACUGGACUACUGAAGUGUCAUGCAUUUAUCUAACAGGAGCUUGUAUCUCAUUUUUGCACAUGCUUUUGAUUAGCAUAUUCGAGCAUACAAGAUAUUUUUGAUUUACCAGUUGCCUACUUGCCUUCAUAAUACAAGAUAUAGAUCUCUUUAUGAAGGUGAUCUAUGCUAGACUUCAAAAUUUCAGCUCUGAAAUUUUGACUUACAGUUACAUUCUUGGAUUUGCGGGGUGACCAAUUUCCUUCAUUUAGAAGACCAUGCUCUAGGAUUUCAUGUAUACCUUUAGAUUCAAGAACCUGCAGUGUGGCAAAUGUUUAAACAUUUCUAAGAAACAUGGAAUUUCUAAUAAUUGUAGAAAGAAAGAGCCAAUUUAGGGAUGAAAUAAAAUAGUACUACUGAUUCAUAAAUGUGGCUCAGCUUACGUAGCAUAUGAAGUGUUAAUCACACAUUGUUGGUUAACUGGUAAAUGUCAACGCAUAAUAGUUAUCACUAAACAUAUUAAUUAGGUCUAAAUUAUAAUUUAUUAAACAACAAUAAGAGCUUCUCCGACAGGGGUACCAACAUCUAUGUGGCAUGACACACUUGGUGCUACUCAAUUGGAGUUGCAAGGGUGCUAACUUAAGUCGCCAAAUUCUCGCACACUCUCAAAUGUCUUAAACACAACUUUUGUACUAAAUGUAUUAUGUAUAUAUCACUUCCACCUCCUUUAUUAUAUUUUAAGAACAUAUUACUAAAUUAUUUAGUUGAUACGGAUUACGGAGACCAUUUAGGCACCUUGUGUAGGGGUGCCAACUACUGGAGUUCAAAGUUGUCACAUUUGGCAAGGAUGAAAGAGAAAAUAAAAAGUUAUUACUUAUGAAUUGGUCAUGCUUGGCUUCUAUUGGAUAUGCACUUAAAACAUUCAGAAACAUGAGAAUAUUAAAAAUUAUUACCUGGAUGAGUUGCCCAUAAUAAGUGAACUUGAAUUUUCAGCUUUUUCAACUGGAACCAAGCUCGUAUCAAGAAUUUGUCAGUAUCCAUGUUGCUAUUGCGAUCCAAGGACUCAGAGGAAAGACUUAAAGUUGAAUCUCCAUUUAAGAUAUUCGUAGUGGAUGAUACAAAGUUUGACUUGCUGUUACUUGCAUUGCCAAAUAUGCUCUUGACUAUGCCCACAGCAACUUCCUCUAGCAUAUUGGUGGAACUUAUAGAAUUUUCCCGUUGUUCUCUUCUCAACGCAAGCUCGGCUAUUAUUAUAGUCUUCUCCUCCACGCACUCCUACAAUGAUGCUUCGAGUUUUUCUUUUUCUUCCUUGCAGAAUUCAAGGUUUAAUAUUAUAAAGUCCAACUCAGUCCGUAUUCUAUCAUAAGCAUUUGUUUUCUCACGAUUAUCAAAGAAUAAUGAUUGUAAUUCGGCCUCCAACUCCUAGACCUUAAUUGACAGCUCUUCGUUUCUCUUCAAGUGAGAAACUUCAGUUUUUUCCUGUCUUCAAGUUGAUUAACAACAUGCUUCCUUUUAGAAAUUUCCAUAGCAUCUCCUCCCCAUGCUUUUUAGAAAUUGAGAGCUACUGCCUUUGCUCUUGAAGCUUGGUUUUAUAUUAUUCUUUAAUGAAAGCAAUUCGCAGAGACUCUUGAACAGCAAAAGAUGGCCCUUCAGGACCUUUUUUCUCAUAAGCCGAGAGACAUUCAGCUUCAGCUUUGUCUUUGAGCUCCUUCAAGCUAACAGACAAGUUUUUGAAUUCUUCUGUUCUAAGAAUCUGUUCAGACAGCUUGUGGGUAACUUCCUUAAUCUGAUCCUGCAACUUGAAGGAUUCAACACUAGAUUUUUCCAUCAGGGCUAUGUGACCUUUAUGUCUAUCUAGUUUUUCUUUUAGAACAAUGAUUAUAAUUUCAUGCUUAGCAUUACAGAAUAUCAAUUCACUAAUCUCCUCCUCGGCUAUUUCCAGCUUGUAGUUAAUCUUUGUGGACUCUUGAAUCCUAAUCAAGUUCAGCCUCCAGAGUAACUGUCUUCCUCUUGAAUUCCUAAAGUUGAGGCAUUAAAACACUAAUUGAUUCUGACAAGACCCUGUUUUCAAUAACAGAGGCUUCUAACUCAGAUCUUAGGCAGUGAACAGUUGUCAUCAACUCUGUAUUUUCAUUAGUUUGAUGUGUUUCAGUAGCAAGACUACGGUUUAACUCUAACUCUAUAUCGAAAUGCACCUUUUAAAUUUCUACAUGGCCCUUGGACUGUUUGAGUAGAAGCACAAGCUCCUCAAUCAGACCUCAUACUGGGUUUUCACAAAUGUGAGUUGAACCUCUGCAUGCUCUUGAAUUUCUGCUAACUGACAACUUAAACUUGUAGGACGAGCAGACUCUUCGAUUGGCUCCUCUUGACAAUCCUUAUGCUGCACUGAAAUAUCAUUUCUAGACCUAUUGAUAUCAAGUUCAGAAGCCAAUUGCCUCAAGUUAACCAUAUCAACGUUCUGAUUGUCAAUGCAACGCAACUUGUCCUGUUCCUCCCCUUAACACCACUAGUCCCAUUAGCUCCAUUAACUUCUGCGUCAGAUGCUUCCACUAUCACUUCCUACAUCCAAAAUAUACAAAAUAUUUUAUGAAUUAAUAACGUAUAUGAUUGAAAACAUCAAAGUUUAAGAGAGUAUCAUAACAUAUCAUAAACAGGAGAACAGAGCAUUUAUACUCUAAAAACUACACAAAUCACAUAUAUUUCUUUCUGAAGCAUGAAAAGACAAAAUCAGUGAGAGACCUUAAAACAAUGUACAAAAAAAUAUAAAACAAUAAAUAUCAUAACAAAAAUUAAAAAACUAUGACGUAUAAUAUCCACGAACAUAAAACUUCUUCCACAAAGCCCAAAAAAGUCCACCAAAAUCAUCACAAUAACUCCAAAAAACAAAUAAAUUGAAUUCAACAACAAAUUCAAGCUCUGAAAUCAUAUAAUGACAAAAAAACUUUUCAAGCAAAUCAGUCAAGGCUAACUCAAUGCUUUAACACCGGUUUCACAGCUUCAUUGCCUCUGUAGCGAACAUCAUGGAUGAUAGGUUACACCUGAAUAACAUCGUUAGUUUUUAUUUAUCAAUUCAAAGUUCGACAUCGAGUUGACUGUGAAACAAAUUUCCUUGAGGGAACAAUUUAAAAACUCACUUCACAAAAAAUGGAUGAGAAAUCAAUGCGAGCACGAGCACUGAGAUCAUUAAUCUCAGUUUGGGUAAGAUCUGACAGCUUACACGACUUCAUUGAGCAUCCAAUAGGUUUCCGAGGAAAAACUAUGCAAAGACGAUCACAAUAUACAUUAACAAUGAAAGUGUUAUACAUAAUACAUGGCAAAGAGAAGAUUAGAUAGCACAAAAGCUAUAAACAAAAAAUGAAAAAAUCCCAAGAAAAAGCUAUAACAUACAAUUAUUAGAAGAUGACCCAAAAUUGUUUCUAAACUCCAUAAUCAAAUAAUUCAGCUUUUAGAUGCAUAAUAUAUAUAAAAAAAACAUGUAUACCUGACAGAAAAUUGUGAAAAUUGGGGGUAUUGAAAUGAAACUGUGGUGAGGUAAAGACGAACAGCCAUCACCCAGCUUCCAUUAAAUCAGCCCAAUUUCACAAAAACAACGAUUCAACAAAUUUCAAGAUUGUGAAGUUUAAUUGUCAUCCAAACAGCAGUGACAUAAUUCUCCAUCCCAAAGCUCCUCAACUGACUUGAUAGGAUUAGUUUCAGAAAUAAACACUGUCCCAAGGUAUGCCCUAAUCUGUUGGAUUGCAGCAACAGAGAGAGAGAUGACGGAUAGUAGAAAGACGCAGCAUGAAGACAAGCAGGCAGGUACAACAGAGGGUUGGUUUUAGCAGGAUGAGGGUCGGAAUCAGGAUCGGAGGGAUGAAAAGGUCAUUUCAUGUUAAAAUAAAUUUGUUCAACAAACAAGCUGUUAGGUUUGGAAGGAUAAAAAAGUCUUUUUACAUUGAAUAAAUUUGCUCAGGUAACUCAGCUUAUAAUAGAUAUAGUAGAUAGUAGAUUUUAAUACUAUUUUUAUAAGAUCUUAAUACAUGUCAUAUCUUUCUUUAAGAACGUGGUCUUAAAUAUAAGUCUUAAGAGCAAGUCCAAUAGGUGUGCUAAAUCAAGUCUUAAAUCCAAAAAUAGGGAAUAUGGGAUAAAAUUGCACUCCAACACUAUGCUAGUGAUGUGCUAAAUCACUAGCACAAGCAUCUCCUUCCCUAUUUUUAGAAUAUGCUAGCCACUUCUAAACUAUUUUUAACAUUAAAAUAUUCAUUUCCCUCUCUCCUCCACAUCAUUUCCUUCUCUUUUUUCCCUCUCUCCUCAACUAUUUAAUAUUAUUAUAAUAAUAGGGAAUGGAUAUAGGGAAUACUAUUGGAGCUCAUGUGCUAAAUCUUGUGCUAAAUCACUAAGACAUAUUAUUUUAUAAUAUUUUUAGGGAACCUCUUAGCAUAGUGUUGGACUUGCUCUAAUCUGUGAUUUUAGUUUUAGAAAGGUACAUUUGUUAAAUGUUAUAAGGAAAAAUAAUGCAUACUAGCUUGAAGUUGGUUGAAACAAGGAGAGUAUAGGUUGAAAUAAUGCGGUUGUGCUAGAAAUUGAAAUGUUGUUGGUUUGUAACGUUGUUAAUGCAUUCAUGAGUUUAUUUAUGUACCUUGCAGGAAUACUGUACCUUGUAGGAAUGUAUGUACUUAAUUAGCAAAUUGACGUGUAGUUGUGUAGGAUGGUAAAAGUAUCAUUUUGCUAGCUAGCUAGUUGUCUGUUUCUAAUUAGAUGAAAAGAAAUCUGAAUGUUUAGCUUCUUAGCUUCUUAGAUUUUGUCAAAGAAUAUGCAUGCCGCACCACCAAAUUGUAUGUUGCCUUAUUUAGACAAGGUAAACUUUCUCUACCUAACAGCUUUUUUUUCCUUUUGGCGUUUGCAGAGUUUACUUUUCUUUUUCAUUUUUUCAUGUAAAUGAUUUGCAAGACUGCAGGGAAUAUUGCAAAGCCUAUUAUCGCUGAACAAAUUCCGAAGUAUAUAAUCGAGGCAUAAGACCUUAUGCAUGGCUGUAUGUAAUGCCAAAUAAAAUAGUUCAGUAUCACUUGCAUAUCAUCCUUGUCACUCAAAACAAUAAUAAAAUAAAGAAUUUCCCGAAAAACAUCUAAAAGCUAUAUAACUAGAUUUUGACAGCCCAUUCACCACUGUCAAACGUAAGCUCAAGACUCGCAUAGCUAAGAACUUAACCAUAUGCAAAGGUCUAUAUCUUUGACUUAUAUUAUUAUUUACUAAAUGAUAUAAAUAAAAGAUGAAUAAACCAUAAGGAUAUCAGACAACAGCCAUUCUUUUAAUUUUACUUAUACAGUCCAUCAACUUUUAAUUUUGUCAAGGCAGUAGGUGCAAACUUUAAAGCUGAGGUGCCUUCUUUUAGCAUGUUUUUAACUAGAUUUAGGGCUCCUAGCAUGGGCUCAAGUUUUGCUAUAUUUAUCUACUUUAUGUCGUAUUCAUUGUGGCGAGGAUUACCAUGCCAUUUAUCUUAGACCAGCUUACCAUGUCUUAUUAAACAUGAUAACAAUAUCCACCCAAAGGUACGUGAAUAGAAUAUAAGACUCUUGAUAAUUUUUCGGAACUACAAGAACCUUUAUAUGGUGUGAAUACAAAGUCAUCUAAUUGCU
rnacentral:lncRNA from 1 species